UACGAAGGGUGCAAACGUUGCUCGGAAUUAUUGGGCGUAAAGCGCACGUAGGCGGCUUUGCAAGUCGGAUGUGAAAUCCCUCGGCUCAACCAAGGAAGUGCAUCCGAAACUGCAGAGCUUGAGUACUUAAGAGGAUCGCGGAAUUCCCGGUGUAGAGGUGAAAUUCGUAGAUAUCGGGAGGAACACCGGUGGCGAAGGCGGGUCUCUGGGCAGUAACUGACGCUGAGGAGCGAAAGCGUGGGGAGCGAACAGG
rnacentral:rRNA from 1 species